CCUACGGGGCGCUGCAGUGAGGAAUAUUGGUCAAUGGGCGAGAGCCUGAACCAGCCAAGUCGCGUGAAGGAUGAAGGAUCUAUGGUUUGUAAACUUCUUUUAUAUGGGAAUAAAGUGAGGAACGUGUUCCUUUUUGUAUGUACCAUAUGAAUAAGCAUCGGCUAACUCCGUGCCAGCAGCCGCGGUAAUACGGAGGAUGCGAGCGUUAUCCGGAUUUAUUGGGUUUAAAGGGUGCGUAGGUGGUUAAUUAAGUCAGCGGUGAAAGUUUGUGGCUCAACCAUAAAAUUGCCGUUGAAACUGGUUGACUUGCGUAUAUUUGAGUUCGGCGGUCUGCGUGGUGUAGCGGUUAUAUGCAUAGAUAUCACGCAGAACUCCGAUUGCGACGGCAGCUUACUAAACUAUACCUGCCACUGACUCACGAAAGCGUGGGGAUCAAACAGGAUUAGAUACCCCAGUAGUC
rnacentral:rRNA from 1 species